rnacentral:rRNA from 1 species
CCUACGGGAGGCAGCAGUGAGGAAUAUUGGUCAAUGGACGCAAGUCUGAACCAGCCAAGUAGCGUGCAGGAUGACGGCCCUACGGGUUGUAAACUGCUUUUAGUUGGGAAUAAAAGGGGGCUCGUGAGCCCCGUAUUGUAUGUACCAUCAGAAAAAGGACCGGCGAAUUCCGUGCCAGCAGCCGCGGUAAUACGGAAGGUCCGGGCGUUAUCCGGAUUUUUUGGGUUUAAAGGGGGCGUAGGCCGGCUUUUAAGUCCGCUGGGAAAGUCCGCGGCUCAACCGUUGGAUUGCAGUUGAAACUGGAGGCCUUGAGUGCACACAAGGAUGCCGGGAU